rnacentral:rRNA from 1 species
AAAUUGAAGAGUUUGAUCAUGGCUCAGAUUGAACGCUGGCGGCAGGCCUAACACAUGCAAGUCGAACGGUAACAGGAAUCAGCUUGCUGAUUCGCUGACGAGUGGCGGACGGGUGAGUAAUGUCUGGGAAACUGCCUGAUGGAGGGGGGUAACUACUGGAAACGGUAGCUAAUACCGCAUAACGUCGCAAGACCAAAGAGGGGGACCUUCGGGCCUCUUGCCAUC